ACUCGAGUGGCGAACGGGUGAGUAACACGUGGGUGAUCUGCCCUGCACUUCGGGAUAAGCCUGGGAAACUGGGUCUAAUACCGGAUAGGAGCCAUUUUUAGUGUGAUGGUUGGAAAGUUUUUCGGUGUAGGAUGAGCUCGCGGCCUAUCAGCUUGUUGGUGGGGUAAUGGCCUACCAAGGCGGCGACGGGUAGCCGGCCUGAGAGGGUGGACGGCCACACUGGAACUGAGACACGGUCCAG
rnacentral:rRNA from 1 species